CAGGGCCUCGCCGCCAUCGCCCCGCUCGCUUCCUGUCACAGCGCUUCCCCUCGCGGCCUCGCCGCUGUCGCCUCGCUCUCUGCCCCUCAGAGCGCCGCCAUCUCCCGGCUCCCUGCCCCUCGCGGCCCCGCCGCCGUCGCCCCGCUCCCUGCCCCUCAGAGCGCCGCCAUCUCCCGGCUCCCUGCCCCUCGCGGCCCCGCCGCCGUCGCCCCGCUCCCUGCCCCUCAGGGCCCCGCUGCGCUGUCCCGGGGGCUAUUCCUCCCCCCGGGAGCUUUCUAGAAGGAAGGGAGCAGCGUGAAGGAGGAGGAGGAGGAAGGCUGCUGUCGCCAUUAAGAGUGACAUAUUCAGAAAGAUCCAACUGGCAGCACACUGAUGAAUUCACCUGGCCUCCCCAUGUGUGCAUGUGUCCUAGUGUACCUGCCGUACUCCAGCACGAACCCUGCGAGCUGCCACUCACCUCAUGACUGGGCACCAUUUGUUGAAACUGUCCAGUCAGCAAAUUCGUACCAGCCAUCAAGCGAGUGAACGUGUUGGAGACUUGUAACACAAAUACAAAGAUUGGUAUGGAUGCGUGUGGGGAAACACCAGAAGGAAGAGCA
rnacentral:lncRNA from 1 species